GGGAGGAAAAGGGAAGGAGAAAAUUGAGUUGUUGUUGUUGAAGAAACCUUUAGUUAAAUCUACCUAAGAUUUCCUUGUGUGUAUGAGGGAAGCAGCUAUAAAACACUACUCAGAAAAAUCAAAUCACAAUUUUAGUUAGAGAGCAGGCAGGCUGACUGGUUGUUGGCCUACCUGUCACUAAUCCUAUGCGUGGCAACUCUUGCAAGAGUUCAUGAGCAGCUGUUGGACAAGCAAUGGGGACGGGGAGAAAACGGCCGCUGGGAUGAGGAGGCGGCGGCAGGCCAGCCCAGCUGCCGGGAUGAGGAGGUGGUGGCAGGCCGGCUCAGCUGCUGGGAUGAGGGAGCCACCACAGAGAAGCCCAUCAUCCAGAUGCCAUCCUUCUGAUUUCAGCUGGCAGAAGAAGCUGGAGAAGUGCCUUACCAGAUUAUCUUAAGGCAUGGGCAGGUUCAUAUGGAAGCAGGAUGUUCUUGAAGCACUCUGGUCCCAAACCAUAUUGGGCUCUAUAAGGUAUGGACAGUUGGAUUGAGGUUUUUGAGCAUGUCAGUGCCAGGGUGUGGCUUACUGGCGCUCUUUCAGGAGACGGUAGACAAGUACAGCAUCCCAUUUUGUGAAAGUCUGAAGAGGGCUAUUGCUUUGUUCACUUCUGUGCCACAAUAUUGAUUAGCCCAUCUCUUGGGCAAUGCUGCUGAAAACGUAGCAACUUUACUUACUGGCUAGUUUAAGUUGCCACCAUUGGUUGAGGUGCUUUAUUUGCCCUGAAGUUGUUUUUAUUGAAAUGCUACCUUCUGUCCAUAUUAUUACGCCUUUUCUUUAAUAAAGAUGCCCUCAAAAUA